UAGGGAUUGGAGCAUUGUUGAAGCUCUUUUUGUGUUGUUGCGCCUAUGCAACACAAAAAAGCGACUGCGAAAAGCCCGACCGCAU
rnacentral:misc_RNA from 1 species